rnacentral:rRNA from 1 species
GGAAUAUUGGACAAUGGGCGCAAGCCUGAUCCAGCCAUGCCGCGUGAGUGAUGAAGGCCCUAGGGUUGUAAAGCUCUUUUGUGCGGGAAGAUAAUGACUGUACCCGCAGAAAAAGCCCCGGCUAACUUCGUGCCAGCAGCCGCGGUAAUACGAAGGGGGCUAGCGUUGUUCGGAUUUACUGGGCGUAAAGCGCACGUAGGCGGAUUGUUAAGUCAAGGGUGAAAUCCCAGGGCUCAACCCUGGAACUGCCUUUGAUACUGGCAAUCUCGAGUCCGGAAGAGGUGAGUGGAACUCCUAGUGUAGAGGUGGAAUUCGUAGAUAUUAGGAAGAACACCAGUGGCGAAGGCGGCUCACUGGUCCGGUACUGACGCUGAGGUGCGAAAGCGUGGGGAGCAAAC